rnacentral:rRNA from 1 species
ACUCCUACGGGAGGCAGCAGUGGGGAAUAUUGCACAAUGGGCGCAAGCCUGAUGCAGCCAUGCCGCGUGUAUGAAGAAGGCCUUCGGGUUGUAAAGUACUUUCAGCAGUGAGGAAGGUGGUGUAGUUAAUAGCUGCAUUAUUUGACGUUAGCUGCAGAAGAAGCACCGGCUAACUCCGUGCCAGCAGCCGCGGUAAUACGGAGGGUGCGAGCGUUAAUCGGAAUUACUGGGCGUAAAGCGCAUGCAGGUGGUUUGUUAAGUCAGAUGUGAAAGCCCGGGGCUCAACCUCGGAAUUGCAUUUGAAACUGGCAGACUAGAGUACUGUAGAGGGGGGUAGAAUUUCAGGUGUAGCGGUGAAAUGCGUAGAGAUCUGAAGGAAUACCGGUGGCGAAGGCGGCCCCCUGGACAGAUACUGACACUCAGAUGCGAAAGCGUGGGGAGCAAACAGGAUUAGAUACCCUGGUAGCACAGAG